rnacentral:rRNA from 1 species
GACGAACGCUGGCGGCGUGCUUAACACAUGCAAGUCGAACGGAAAGGCCCUGCUUGCGGGGUACUCGAGUGGCGAACGGGUGAGUAACACGCGGGUGAUCUGCCCUGCACUUCGGGAUAAGCCUGGGAAACUGGGGCUAAUACCGGAUAUGAGCCAUUCUGAUGGUGAUGGUUGGAAAGUUUUUUUCGGUGUAGGGUGAGCUCGCGGCCUAUCAGCUUGUUGGUGGGGUAAUGGGCUACCAAGGCGGCGGCGGGUAGCCGGCCUGGGGGGGUGGACGGCCACAUUGGGGCUGAGGUAAGGCCCAGACUCCUACGGGGGGGAGGAGGGGGGAAAAUUGGACCAUGGGGGCAAGCCUGAUGCCGCGAAGCCGCGUGGGGGAUGACGGCCUUCGGGUUGGAAACUCCCUUCGCUAGGGACGAAGCUUUUUGUGACGGUACCUAGAAAAGAAGCACCGGCUAACUACGUG